AAAAAUGACUAUGCAGAGAGAGUUAACAGGGCGUGAAACCGUUAAUUGGCAAACGAAUCGGAGCCACGAAGUCGUUUCGUCGUUUAGCCGGAUCAGGUUCAGCUGGAGUCGCGAGGCUCCGGUGUAUUCCUGGGUCUGGCCAAACCUUGUAAGCGUACACUGCAACCAGUUAGACGAUCAGCCGUGGGCACAGUGCUGGGUUAGUAGUAGCGCGGUUGCAUYUCGGUGUUUCUCGUGUUGCUGGGCCCGCGUGAGUGAGCUACGGCUGAAUACUGACUGGCGAAAUGAAAAUCGCUCCUAGAGCGUUAGAGACAAGGCGCCCGUCGGAUGCGGGCCUACACGGUCGACUGUUAGGUCUAAGCUUGGCGUUCUUGAAUUCAGACUUGCUUGCUACCAGUGGGGCAACCCCUGGUGCUUGUACAGCUUCUGUCUAAUCGGGCGUCGACUUGGCUUGGCAUCGUUCGGCCGUGCUUCGAUAGGGCCUGCAUGCGAGCGGAGUCGCAAUGUGAAUUGGCAGUGAGUAGGUCGGCUUUCCGAGAAACCCGUCUUGAAACACGGACCAAGGAGUCUAAUUAGGCAUCAAGUCGAUCGGUCUUGAAUAGGCCAGUAAGGCGUAGAGACAUGUGAUUUGGUGGGCAACAACAGCCUGCCAACGCAACAUGUGCCUGCUCGUAUGGCAAUUGUUAGCAAUAAUUGCCGGGCGGAGUAAAGAGAUGCUUGAUUGGUACCCGAAAGAUGGUGAUGCUUGGGCAAAUUGAAGCCAGAGGAAACUCUGGUGGAGGAUUUAGCUGACGUGCAAAUCGAUCGUCAGACCUGAGUAUAGGGGCGAAAGACUAAUCGAACCAUC
rnacentral:rRNA from 1 species